ensembl:lncRNA
CUGACAGAACACACGCAGCAAGAAACGUGCGAGCACCUGGAGGCAUACAGCGGCGUCACUGUGACAGCAAUGGCAAGUCAAAGUACUAAAAGAAAGAUUCCAGUCCGCAAACCUGCUCAGGAGGAGGUGAAGAAUGAUGUGCAAGAAGAGGCUCCAACUGCCCAUAUAACUCUUUCCAAAACAAAACAAACAGUUGAGAUGCUGAAAGAGAAGAUCCAUGCUCUGGAGGAAAAAGUGGAGUCUUUGACUGAAGAGAGAAACUUUCUCAGAGAGAGACUGGAAGAUGCCCUUAAACUGAAAGCUGAAGUUCCAGAACAGUCCCAGAAUCCUACAGCAUCCCAGAUGGAGUCAUCUGAAGAUACAACAUCUUCUGACUCCAUCUCUGAUUCAUCUGAGCCUUCACGAAAGAAGUAUAAAAAGAAACCAAAAAAGAAGAAAUCAAAGAAAGCACGGGCCUGUGAUUUCAAAAGAGUAAAAACACCUGAGGAGUCUGUUUGUCGGUACCAGAAAGUCCUACGACUUGUUAAAAGUGGCUCAACAAAGGCGGAUGCCUAUAACAG